rnacentral:piRNA from 1 species
AGGAUUGAUUAUCUACUGCUUUGUCUAUG